rnacentral:pre_miRNA from 1 species
AGGGGGACGCAGGAUCCUGGGCUGUGUCCCCUAGUGCCCUUGGCUCCCGGGCCUUCACAGCUGGAAUCACACUUCCAGGACUUCGCAGCCCCCU